CAGCAGCCGCGGUAAUACAGAGGGUGCGAGCGUUAAUCGGAUUUACUGGGCGUAAAGCGUGCGUAGGCGGCUUCUUAAGUCGGAUGUGAAAUCCCUGAGCUUAACUUAGGAAUUGCAUUCGAUACUGGGAAGCUAGAGUAUGGGAGAGGAUGGUAGAAUUCCAGGUGUAGCGGUGAAAUGCGUAGAGAUCUGGAGGAAUACCGAUGGCGAAGGCAGCCAUCUGGCCUAAUACUGACGCUGAGGUACGAAAGCAUGGGGAGCAAACAGGAUUAGAGACCCGUGUAGUCCCUGUCUCUUAUACACA
rnacentral:rRNA from 1 species